AACGGAAGCGGCCUGGAGACAGGUCCUUGAGCAGCAGGAGGGAGGUGUUCUGGCACCAAACUACCUGAAACAGUGAAGGAAAUGGCAGCCGUUUGUGACUCAGUGUCCAUAAAUCUGUCUCAAAUAUUUGGAAGCAGUUUUUAUUUCCUGCCCGUAUUAUCUCUUGGGAGUUAUGAACACUUUACAUUACGAACUGCUCACUGUGGGAAGUGACUUUUCUUUCCAGACCGGGAGAGUCAGCCUUGAAAUCGCUCCAUUCCCGGAGAAUACAGGUUUACAGACUGCGGCUUGGUACGUAGUGACUCAGGAAGACCUUGAAUCGGUACAGUUGGAACCUUUAGGAAGAUGGAAUCUAGACCCACACAGGAAAUACUUUUGUGAGCUAACAGGCUGUCUUGGUGAAGUGCUGAGUUCCCCGUUACGAAGGGAAUGCAAGCAGAAGAUGGACAACGUGGGCAAGUCCCUUCCAGCCCUGAGAGCCUAUGGACUUUACUUCACCCUUUCUGUUCUCACCUCCCAACUUGUCCCUUAAUCAGCAACCCUGACUUCACACUAAUUCUACCCAGAAGGCUCAGCUCAAUUUCAUAUUGAAAAGGCCCCUAACCCCUGAGUUAAAAAUCAAGCUCCAUAUAUUCUCUUCAAUAAACAUAAAACUUUUUUUGUUGUUGGUAGAGGUGGUAGGUGGGAGGUCAGAACGUAGUCAAUUAGUGAUGAAAUGCCCAUAAUUAUUUGCCUUGCAAUCCAACCAUUUUCUCGAAAACAUCGUACCAUAGAAAGCUGUCCACAUGGCUAGGCGUGGUGGCUCACACCUGUAACCCCAGCACUUUGGGAGGCUGAGGUGGGAGCAUCUCUUGAGCCCAGGACUUUGAGACCAUCCUGGGCAACAUGGUGAAACCUUUCUCUACAAAAAAUACAAAAAAUUAGCUGAACGUGGUGGAGUGUGCCUGUGAUCCCAGCUACUUGGGAGGCUGAAGUGGGAGGACCACUGGAGGCAGAGGCUACAGUAAGCCGAGAUUGUAUCACUGCACUGCAGUCUGGGCUUGCAGACUCCUUGUCACAAAACAAAACAAAACAAAACAAAUAAAUGAAAACUGUCCACAACUUGCUGUUGAGGUGUUUUUUCUUAGUGUGGUAUUGAAGAGGAUAAAUUGUAUAAUCCCAUUUAAGUCAAAUGAUGUGUACAUCUGUCAUCUGUGUGUGUCAGGAGAGGGUAGGUGUGAGAGCAGCGAGGCACCCUGCUGGAGGUUCAUCUGUGCUUUCUCUCUUCCCUAGUCUACUGCACAGACAGGCCAGGACAGAAAGUCACUGUGGAGUGCCCAAAGGUAGUAUCUCUGGGAAUGGCAGGGGAGGGUGAGUUGACUCAUUGUCCUGGGAGAAGGAUGUAACACACUUCUGCGUUGAUUGCUGUGGGGGUGUUUCUGGGAAGAAUGGUUAUGGGAAGGGGAACAAUGAUGUAGCCCAGUCCUCCCAAAUCUUUGUGACCUGCCUGGCACGAAGUGGGAAAGGCUUGCAUUGAAGGGCCCUGGGUGGUUGGCUUGGAGCCAGCCCUUCUCUGGUCUAGGGGGAACACUGGGCUUCCACCACUGUGGCUGCUUUGGGAGCAGUGAACCCAACUGACAAGUCAGAGUAUUGCUCACUAAGAUUAGUUUCUGGUCACUUAUUCAAGUCCUUCUACCAUGGUUGGUGCAUUGAAACAGGACCACAUGGAACUGGACACCACCCCCGUCCAGGACACCUGCAGGGGAACCCUCUGUGUGUAAGAGGGUAAGAGGGAGGUAGUGAGAGCCGUGUAGAGAACAGCAGGGCUGCUUGUUGGACUCUUUGCUAUCACCCGCACAUGGGGCUUGAAC
ensembl:lncRNA